GUUGAAAACCCUAAAUCCUUAAUGGGGCUAGUUUAUGGGGCUAGUUUAAGAAUAACAAGCCUUUAAAAUGUCACCGCCGGCUCAAAAGGGAGGGCGAACUACGCAUCCGUCCGGGCCCACUCUAAAAUCAACCAAAUUUAAUUACAAGAGGGGCCUAAAUUAUUUUUUUCUAACCAAGGGCCCAUAAUUUUUUUAAAAUCAUUUAAUGCAUAAAAAAAGUUUUGUCCAGGAGCCUAAUAGAAAGUUAAGCCUGCCCUUUCAACAGCAUGUCUCCUCUGCUACACGUCUCCUCCCUCUAGAUCAAUCAUAUCUGUCUCAGAUCAGAUUCUCAAGUGUUCAUCCUAGCAAUCUCUUCGAGAAGUAUGACGAUGGAUCUUCAUGGAGUCCUUUCCGACAUUGACUCGGCUUUCUCUCCGUCUUCGUCUUUCUGGUCUUGUUGUUUUCAGUUUACUCCUAGGGCUUUAAAUGUCCCAACGGACUUUCUAGCUAAAGCCUGUAUUUCUUCAAAUUUGGGCCCGAGGCCUUGAACCCUUGUAAGUUUAAUGAAGUUAUGUUGACAAAAAAAGGGGUUUAUGAAUUAUGAUACUUGAAUUUUCUUUGGAAGCUCAAAGGUAUGGGAGUAAGCGAUAUCUUUUACUCUCUCUUUAUUUGUUAUAGAGCUGUUCUUUAUCAUAGGGUUAGAUUUGAAUUGAAGCUAUAUGGAACUGUGAUUGUUUGCAUUGAUACGAUGUUGUUUGACGUAAAAGAUACCCUUGAUUAUUUGUUGUAUGAAUUCAUUGCCAGUAAGGGCGGGAGCACAUGUCAGUGAAACAUUUGGUUAUCCCUCCAAAAUUUUAAAGAUUUUAUACAUAGAAAUAGGUCUUCCAAUUAUUUAAAAAAAAAUUAUUAACUUUUAUUAAAUGUCUAUAGCCUCAAACUCUCAUAUUCGGCCAUCUUGCCACUAGUGAAUUUGUGUUUUAUGUUUGUAUUUUCCUGAGAAAAGGUUACGCCUUUAGCGUCCGAAUCUUUUCUUACUUGGAUUAGCACAUAGAUUCUGAGGCAAAGAUGGUGGGCCAUAUCAUAUGGGAUUAAAGUGAACAAGGGGAAGGAGAGACAAGAGAGGUACGAUGAGCAGGAAGAAGAGGAGGAGAAGCAAUCUAAGUUUGAGCAGAAACGUAAAGAAAGUGUGAAGAAGAAGGCUAAAAGAGAAAGCAUUUCAAACGCAGAGGAGGAAGAUAAUGAAGAGAAGGAAAUAACUGAGGAUGCAACAGAGAAUAUUGAUGUGGGAAUACGUGUUGUCCUCUCUAAUGAUAAAAGAGAAAGCAUUUGUGCUUGAGAAGGCUUCUCUUGAAGUUGCCAAAGUUGGAAAGAAACCCUGCUGAUUACUGACCAGACAUCACUCAUCAGGCUCUUUUAAUGAUUUGGAUAGUCCGGUCAACAAGGCUGGGUCUGCUGGGAGGUUGAAAGCAGUAUAUGUUAGAACAGAACAUGGUGUUCUUUUUGAAGUUUUCUCUUCGUAUAACAAGAACUUACAAGCGGUUCGCUGGAAUCAUGUUGCAGUUGCUACAAAACCUUAGCAUUACUGCAAUUGCAGUCCUCAAAAACUUUUACGUGUGAUCAAGAACCCUUUUACAAACUAUCUACAGGAAAAUAGGCUUGUGAAACACCUAUCUACCGUCUGUAAUGAGAUGGACAUUGUUUUUGUGGUGGUUAAUGAUCUCCAAAUAUUUCUCUCUCACUUGGUGCGAUGUCACAUGGGAAAAUAGAGUGUGACUAUGUCGAAGAAUUUGUGGCCAUUUCAGGGUAUCCUCUUAGUGCAACGUACUGUGUCUCAAGAAUUUGCGAGGCAAUACCAACAAAUUGAAAUAUAAUAUAAGAGAAUAUUUAUACUAUAUUAUGGUUCCUUAAUUUUUCUCUAAUGUUUUGAUGGUGGAACCACUUUGAUAGUAUGAAGUAGAUUCUGAUCUGCCUUUCAAAAAGAAGGUUUGGAGCAUGUGAAAGAGUAAAGAAAAGAGUGCCAUGAAGGAAGAAGUCAUUUUGGAAUAUCUAACGCAGAACAGCCAGUCGGAUCAAUCCAAAGGUUGUUCCCAAAAAGAGCAAGCGACUGACUGUUCCCGACUAUUAAAGAAACCUCCAAGAUUUCAGGGGGUUUGCCCUAGAUUUUCUCUCCUUUCUCAGCUGCCGGCGCUUCCAUAUAAAAAGCCUAUGCUAGUUUUACAAGAGACCUAGAACUAUUUUGGAUUUAGCAACUUGUAAGGGAGAAGGCUUCAUCUCUCAUUUUCACGAGAAGAUCAUCCUGAACCCUUGUCUUUCUACUUUAUUUUAUAUGCAGUAUUAUUCAGAAAUCAUGUCUGUGUCAUCUUGCUUUAUGAUUGAGUAGUCGGCUAAGCUUGCUUAGGGUUUAGGGUGUCAAUCGCAUGAGCUAAACGCAAAUAAGUGAUUUUAACUGUUCUUCAUUCAUAUUGUUCUUACUGCUUGCAUUGAAUUGAUCACUUAAUGUUCGAUCUCUAGUUUAAUCACCUAGCUAACCGCUCAGGAGAUAAAUUGAUAUAUAUUGAAUGAGCUUCAUAUCCCUAAUCAGCGAGAGUAGAUAUUAGGGUAUUAAGUGAACUAAUCGGACCUGAUGUCUAAGGUUUGCUAUCGCGUCUUGUUCCAAGUGAGAGCUUAGGACUCAAGACCGAUCAACAAAGGGAACAAGUCCGCGAUAGUGGAUUGUUAUAGCCGAGUGAUCUGAGUUCUAGACUGCACCUCAUUGCACUUGAAUAGUUGUUUGGUUCCACAUUGACACCUGAUGAACAACCCUAAGCCGGC